GGGAAGGUAGCUCAGUGGUAGAGUGCUUGCCUUGCAUGCAUAAGGCCCUGGGUUCGAUUCCCCAGCGCCA
rnacentral:tRNA from 1 species